UUCAAUGAUAUAGACGUCUAUCAAAUUAUAUGUUGUUUUAAAGACAAUUGAGAAGGUUGUGUUAACGAUCAGAUAAUUCAAUUACAGGAAGGUCCGGAUAAUACCUCACUGGUAACUGUUUAUGUGCUGCUUUUUAUAAAAUGUUGUAGCACUUCACUGUUUCUGGAUAGGUUAACGCAUUUCAUCCUAUGAACAAUAUAUGACGCGUGGAGUGAUUAAGCAUAAAGGCAAAACUGAAUUCCGCAGUCGAAAAAUCAAAAAGGAUACGCAGCUGGAUCGAAUUAUCUACCUAACCACGGAUCUUCAUCUAACACACUGUGUCUACCAAAUGACCCGGAAUUAUUCAACGAUACAUUUUUUUAUACAGAAAGCUUGCUUUAUGGCUCUGAAUACGAACAUAACACUUUUACAUCUGAUUCAGCUCAGGAAGACAUGCCUUGUGUUGUAUGCAGAAUGAAACACUCAGCAACAACACUUAUGAUACCGGAUAGAAAGUCGUGUUACAGAAAAUGGAACAUUGAAUAUAUAGGGUUAUUAUCUUCCGGUGCCAAUUUUCACAGUCCGUCGACUUAUUUAUGCGUAGAUAGCCAUCCGGAGUACAUACCAUCAGGUCAAGAAGACAAAAAUGGCAACCUUUUUUACGUUGUCGGUUACAAAUGUGGAUCUAUUCCUUGUCCUUCGUAUCACGACAACAGGAUUGCCUACUGUGUCGUUUGUUCUAAAUAAAGGAUAGCGAAGAAAAACUUAAGUUUAUUAUGACUUUUUACAUAUAGCCACCAGUGAGGAAUAGUCAUUCAUUUUGCAAUCUAGAUAGUCUAAAUGGGGUCUUUGUUUCUUUAUUUUUUAAUUUUAUGUACCAUUUUCUCUAUUCUUUAUUUUGUCCCUUUUAUUCUCUUUUUCUUCAUAUUUUAGCACAUCAUUAAUGUCUAUCUCUGUUUUUUUUUGGCUCAUUAUUCUCUACUCUUUAUUUGUUUGCUCAUUAUUCUCAAUCCUUUAUUUUUUUUUUAAUAAUAUCCAUAUAAAGAUGA